CGAACGCUGGCGGCGUGCUUAACACAUGCAAGUCGAACGGUAAGGCCCUUCGGGGUACACGAGUGGCGAACGGGUGAGUAACACGUGGGUGAUCUGCCCUGCACUUCGGGAUAAGCUUGGGAAACUGGGUCUAAUACCGGAUAGGACCACGGUCUGCAUGGAUUGUGGUGGAAAGCUUUUGCGGUGUGGGAUGGGCCCGCGGCCUAUCAGCUUGUUGGUGGGGUGAUGGCCUACCAAGGCGACGACGGGUAGCCGGCCUGAGAGGGUGUCCGGCCACACUGGGACUGAGAUACGGCCCAGACUCCUACGGGAGGCAGCAGUGGGGAAUAUUGCACAAUGGGCGCAAGCCUGAUGCAGCGACGCCGCGUGGGGGAUGACGGCCUCGGUUGUAACCGUACUUUCUAGCAGGGACGAAGGGU
rnacentral:rRNA from 1 species